GACGAACGCUGGCGGCGUGCUUAACACAUGCAAGUCGAACGGAAAGGCCCUGCUUUUGUGGGGUGCUCGAGUGGCGAACGGGUGAGUAACACGUGAGUAACCUGCCCUUGACUUUGGGAUAACUUCAGGAAACUGGGGCUAAUACCGGAUAGGAGCUCCUGCUGCAUGGUGGGGGUUGGAAAGUUUCGGCGGUUGGGGAUGGACUCGCGGCUUAUCAGCUUGUUGGUGGGGUAGUGGCUUACCAAGGCUUUGACGGGUAGCCGGCCUGAGAGGGUGACCGGCCACAUUGGGACUGAGAUACGGCCCAGACUCCUACGGGAGGCAGCAGGGGGGGAUAUUGCACAAUGGGCGGAAGCCUGAUGCAGCAACGCCGCGUGCGGGAUGACGGCCUUCGGGUUGUAAACCGCUUUCGCCUGUGACGAAGCGUGAGUGACGGUAAUGGGUAAAGAAGCACCGGCUAACUACGUG
rnacentral:rRNA from 1 species